CCGACAUAACUUUUCGUAUCGUUUCCCACAGACGGCGCCAAAUGUUGAUGCACAAAACCGGAUGGUCUUGGAACAACGUAAAUCCGACCGUGAAUCUGCAUAAAAUGUAAAUGACACAAGAGUUAUCGUGGUUCACCCCAAGGUUUGGGCUACGUCCACACUGAUUAUGUAUUUAUUUGAGGGAAUAGAGAGGGAGAGGGUGAGAGCUUCUGAGAGUUUCUGAGGGUGAGAGAGGGGAUCUCAGGCCUAGGAAUUGGCCUCUGAGGGUGAGAAUGAGGCCCCCCCCAAUUGUGAGGGUGAGGAGGCCCUUUUAUAGAAUAAGGGCUCCUCACCUAAUUACAUAUUUGCCCCUUCUUUUAUCCCAUAAUUACAUUUAAGUCCCCCAAGUAUUUGUACGAGAUCUAAAUACGAGGCCCUAAAUAUGGUAUAAACAAUUACUUUCUCAAAAAUUGAAGAGACACUGCUCCCCGAAUCUCGAGAGCCAGACCCC
rnacentral:lncRNA from 1 species